ACACCAGACUCCUACGGGAGGCAGCAGUGGGGAAUAUUGCACAAUGGGGGGAACCCUGAUGCAGCGACGCCGCGUGGGUGAAGGAGCACCUCGGUGCGUAAAGCCCUAUCGGCAGGGAAGAAACAGACGGUACCUGACUAAGAAGCCCCGGCUAACUACGUGCCAGCAGCCGCGGUAAUACGUAGGGGGCCAGCGGUAUCCGGAUUUACUGGGUGUAAAGGGGGCGCAGACGGCCAUGGCAAGCCCGGUGUGAAAGGCAGGGGCAUAACCCCGGGACUGCACUGGGAACUGUCAGGCUGGAGUGCCGGAGGGGUAAGCGGAAUUCCUGGUGUAGCGGUGAAAUGCGUAGAUAUCAGGAGGAACACCGGCGGCGAAGGCGGCCUGCUGGACCGCGACUGACGUUGAGGCUCGAAAGCGUGGGGAGCGAACAGGAUUAGAUACCCACGUA
rnacentral:rRNA from 1 species